AGAUCAGUUUCGAACGGGACUUCUGAGCGGUUGCAAGUUUUGUGUGUACGGUUGGUUGUUUACUUUCUUUGGGUAAUGCAUAUAACCGUUGAUGGUGUUACAGUGUAGAGUGAAAAAGGAUUCGCGCGCGCUGCUAAUCUUAUUCUUUUGGGGAGUUUUUGGUGGAGAAUAAUAAUCGUGACCGUAGAGUGGAAUUUAAUCAAGCGUGGAAUUCGAUUAUGUGCUUGUGUUGAUGCGGAAUUUUACAGCAAACCGGUGUACUGAAUUACUGAAGUUUUGUAAAGCAGCCGACAUCUAAUUUUGCGGAAAGUGCUGCGAUUCGGUUUCUUUUGAUCGUGGACCCAUAAAAAAGAGCCAGAGGAUUAUCUGAAUCUUUGGUCGAGAAGUAAAAUCUAAAAAAUAGUGAGUGCUGACAAUUAAUUUCCAACCGGAAUAAAUGAGGAUAAGUGUAACAGUGAAAGGUACAGCAAAAAUAUAAAACGAAUCCGUUGAUUGUAUUUUUUGCAAACACCUAGCAGUGAAGCCGGAGCCAGGGUGAAUGAAGCAAUUGGAAUUGUGAUCCGGAUACCUAUUUGUGCUGGUCGGCAUCUACCAUCAAAUUAAUAAUCUGCUUUAAUCACCAUUUGGUACACUGCGGCAGUGUAACAGCAGCUGCUGCUAGAAACGGCGAAGAAAAAAAAGGUGAAAUAACAUUUUGCCAAGCUUGCACGAGCACAACAGGAAGUCGCCGAAACGAACAAAUCGUACGGAACAGAUUUGAGAAUAGAAAAAAAAAUAUUGAAAGAUUAUUCGACGUCGUGUGUGAUCCAGCCCAUCGGUCGUCUACUGGUAACGUUCUGUUCCAGAAUUUGAGCACCGAGUCGCUGGUUGUUUGCCAUUUGCCUGCCCGGGGGAUUGAUCAUUCACAAGUGGAUUGCCGGUUUCGAGUGUUGUGUAGAUCCAGCUUGGCAAGUGUUUAAAGUUUUAUCGUUCGGAAACUAGCUCAGAUUAGUUUGAUUAAUACGAAGCAAUCAGUUUUCGCCAAGGUGAGAAAGGCGUGUGCACAGUUACGAAGAAAAAGUGAUAGAAAUAGCGCUCUGACGGGAAUGUUUUAAGUGUCGAAAAAGUUCGAAAGUAAAUACAGAGAAAAAAAGUGUGCUUAAUUUGGAUGUGAUUGAAGGCCACUCAAGUGUUUCGAUUUCAUACGAAGAUACGUUCGAGCAGCAAAACAAACGGAUAUAUUGUUUCUGUGGAUUGGUGCAGGAAACCAUCAACAACAACUUACUUCGGACGGAAUCAUCUACGACUGAAAAUCUAAAGUAAGUAAUAAAAUGUAUA